GACGAACGCUGGCGGCGUGCUUAACACAUGCAAGUCGAACGGAAAGGCCCUGCUCUUGUGGGGUGCUCGAGUGGCGAACGGGUGAGUAACACGUGAGUAACCUGCCCUUGACUUUGGGAUAACUUCAGGAAACUGGGGCUAAUACCGGAUAGGAGCUCCUGCUGCAUGGUGGGGGUUGGAAAGUUUCGGCGGUUUGGGAUGGACUCGCGGCUUAUCAGCUUGUUGGUGGGGUAGUGGCUUACCAAGGCUUUGACGGGUAGCCGGCCUGAGAGGGUGACCGGCCACAUUGGGACUGAGAUACGGCCCAGACUGCUACGGGAGGCAGCAGUGGGGAAUAUUGCACAAUGGGCGGAAGCCUGAUGCAGCAACGCCGCGUGCGGGAUGACGGCCUUCGGGUUGUAAACCGCUUUCGCCUGUGACGAAGCGUGAGUGACGGUAAUGGGUAAAGAAGCACCGGCUAACUACGUG
rnacentral:rRNA from 1 species